rnacentral:rRNA from 1 species
GAUGAAUGCUGGCGGCGUGCCUAACACAUGCAAGUCGAGCGGCAGCGCGAGUAGUUUACUACUUGGCGGCGAGCGGCGGACGGCUGAGUAACGCGUGGGAACGUGCCCCAAAGUGAGGGAUAACCGCUCGAAAGAGUGGCUAAUACCGCAUAUGAUCUUCGGAUUAAAGUAUUUAUACGCUUUGGGAGCGGCCCGCGUCGGAUUAGGUAGUUGGUAGGGUAAUGGCCUACCAAGCCGACGAUCCGUAGCUGGUCUGAGAGGAUGAUCAGCCAGACUGGGACUGAGACACGGCCCAGACUCCUACGGGAGGCAGCAGUGAGGAAUAUUCCACAAUGGGCAAAAGCCUGAUGGAGCAACGCCGCGUGCAGGAUGAAGGCCUUCGGGUUGUAAACUGCUUUUAUAAGUGAAGAAUAUGACGGUAACUUAUGAAUAAGCACCGGCUAACUACGUGCCAGCAGCCGCGGUCAUACGUAGGGUGCAAGCAUUAUCCGGAGUGACUGGGCGUAAAGAGUUGCGUAGGUGGUUUGUUAAGUGAGUAGUGAAAGCCAGCGGCUCAACCGUAUGGAUAUUUAUUCAAACUGGCAAACUCGAGAAUGGUAGAGGUAACUGGAAUUUCUUGUGUAGGAGUGAAAUCCGUAGAUAUAAGAAGGAACACCAAUGGCGUAGGCAGGUUACUGGACCAUUUCUGACACUGAGGCACGAAAGCGUGGGGAGCGAACGGGAUUAGAUACCCCCGGUAGUCCACGCCGUAAACGAUGGAUACUAGCUGUUGGAGGUAUCGACCCCUCCAGUAGCGAAGCUAACGCGUUAAGUAUCCCGCCUGUGGAGUACGGUCGCAAGACUAAAACAUAAAGGAAUUGACGGGGACCCGCACAAGCGGUGGAUUGUGUUCUUUAAUUCGAUGAUAAACGACGAACCUUACCAGGGCUUGACAUCCCGAGAAUUACUCCGAAAGGAGUGAGUGCUUUAUUGAACUCGGUGACAGAUCUUGCAUGGCCGUCGUCAGCUCGUGUCGUGAGAUGUUUGGUUAAGUCCAUCAACGAGCGCAACCCUUGUGAAUAGUUGUAUUUUUCUAUUCAGACUGCCCCGGCAACGGGGAGGAAGGAGGGGAUGAUGUCAGGUCAGUAUUAGUCUUACGUCCUGGGCUAGAAACGCAAUACAAUGGCGAGUACAAUGCGCAGCGAAGCCGCGAGGUGAAGCAAAUCGCAUCAAAGCUCGUCCCAGUUCGGAUAAGAGGCUGAAACUCGCCUCUUUGAAGUCGGAAUCGCUAGUAAUCGCAGAUCAGCAAGCUGCGGUGAAUACGUUCCCGGGUCUUGUACACACC